AAUAAAUAAAGGGCAUAUGGGGGAUACCUAGGUAUCAAGAGUCGAAGAAGGGCGUAAAAACCAACGAUAUGCUUCAUGGAGCUGGCAUUAAGCAAUGAUAUGAAGAUUCCCGAAUGAGAUAACUUUUUAAACAUUUUUCUGAAUGCAUAGGAAAAAAUGAGAUAACCAAGUGAACUGAAACAUCUUAGUAACUUGUGGAAAAGAAAGCAAAAGCGAUUCCCUUAGUAGUGGCGAACGAACUGGGAACAGCCCAAAAGUUAAUUU
rnacentral:rRNA from 1 species